rnacentral:sRNA from 1 species
CAGAGGAUGGAUGUGAAUCUCGUUGAACCGAACGCAUUGUGAAGGAGAUGGCUUGGAUUGCUGACC